CUAUCCUUCAAAUACAGGGCCACCCCUCCCCCUUUCUUGCCUUCCCUGUCUUUUCUAAAUAAAGAGUACCCUGGUAUUGCUAUGUCCCAGUCAUUUUUCUCAUUAUACCAUGUCUCAGUAACAGCAACUAAAUCUACAUUAUCAGUUGCCAUUAUUGCCACAAGUUCAUGGAUCUUAUUCCCUAAACUGUGAGCAUUUGUAGACAUGACUCUAAGCUUUUAUUUUUUUA
rnacentral:lncRNA from 1 species